rnacentral:rRNA from 1 species
UUGAUCCUGCCAGUAGUCAUAUGCUUGUCUCAAAGAUUAAGCCAUGCAUGUCUCAGUACAAGCCACAUUAAGGUGAAACCGCGAAAGGCUCAUUAAAUCAGUUAUGGUUCCUUAGAUCGUACCCACAUUUACUUGGAUAACUGUGGUAAUUCUAGAGCUAAUACAUGCAAACAGAGUUCCGACCGGAGACGGGAGGAAUGCUUUUAUUAGAUCAAAACCAAUCGGCGGCGGGUGCGCUCGCGCGCCCGUUCGCCGCUCAACCUGGUGACUCUGAAUAACUUUCGGCUGAUCGCACGGUCCAGCACCGGCGACGCAUCUUUCAAAUGUCUGCCUUAUCAACUGUCGAUGGUAGGUUCUGCGCCUACCAUGGUCGUAACGGGUAACGGGGAAUCAGGGUUCGAUUCCGGAGAGGGAGCCUGAGAAACGGCUACCACAUCCAAGGAAGGCAGCAGGCGCGCAAAUUACCCACUCCCGGCACGGGGAGGUAGUGACGAAAAAUAACGAUACGGGACUCAUCCGAGGCCCCGUAAUCGGAAUGAGUACACUUUAAAUCCUUUAACGAGGAUC